rnacentral:lncRNA from 1 species
AGAGAUUGAUCAUCAAGCGCAUAGUUCUUCAACAAAGGAGUGGUCAAUGGAGUUCUCCCCAGAGAUCAACCCGAAAUAACGAAGUGUUGCUCGACAUUCUUGGCGAUUAAAUACAACACAAGGAGGUUGCAUCGUCCUACAUUCAAGAAAGUCUCUUCUCAAACCCUUGAAUCGCGUAGAAUUUCAGAGAAGAGAAUCAAGGGAUACAUAAAAUUAUACUCACAAAUAUUUAUCAAAAAAUCUCUUUUUCUUCAUAUUCUUUUUUUGUUAUUUUCUAUACUAUUGCAAUAAAUUUUGGUACGUCUAGUGGGAUCAGUUAUUCCCUACAUCUCUUCCUCUUGCAAGUUAAAAACAAGAAACAUCAGAUCUACUACUGCAAAAGGCCUUCCGAAAGUGUGAUGAUGUUCUAUGCAAGGACACUACCACUAUUGCAUCUAUUGAUCUCAGUCAUGGCCCCAUCACUCGAAGCAAGUUCAAGUCUAGUGGCUUGGAUAGAUCCGAAUACUUUACCUCUUUGGGGAUGAUAACGAAGAGCAAAUAUCACAUGGGGAUCGCAACCGCAAUCAUUUGACGAACUUUCUCAAACAACUUCCUACCUUGGCGAAUUUGAGGAUUUGGUGGAUUCUCCAAUUUCAACAAAAGUCAAUGCCUUAAGACUGAUGCAACUAACGUGGACGAAAAGUUUGCGAUGAUGGAGCAGACUACAGAAUUCUUGAAGAAAUCUGUUGAAGAUAAUGACCUUCAAAUCGCUCAACUCAUGCACAAAUUGGAGGCCUAUGCACCUGGAGAGUCGAGCCACGUCCCUGCUUGUUCACCUGGUUUCACCUUGCAAAAAAUGGUUGUUGGGGAAUCGCUUGUCAAGUUAAACAUCACAAGGAAAAGUAAUUCACUUCAUUUUCGGCGUUAUCUAUCCAACAAUUGCAAGACAUGAUAACAAACAAUAUCAGAGCUUAAUAUGGCGGACCAUUACAAAGUUCCUUGUAUUACUCUAAGCCUUAUACUAAACAGAUUGAUUGGAUAACAAUGCCAGCCAAUUAUCAACCAAUAAAGGUACAUCAAUUUGAUGGCAGAGGAAACCAUGGCAACAUAGCGCCCACUUUGUCAAGACUUGUAGCAGCAAUAGAACACAUGGUAAUCUUUUGGUAAAAAAGUUUGUUCGUUGGUUGAAAGGGAAAGCAUUUGACUGGUACAUCGACUUUGAGCCCGAGUCUAUUGAUAGCUGGGAGCAACUUGAGAAGUAAUUCUUCUAUCGUUUUUAUAAUACCCGUAUAACAGUAAGCAUGAUAGAGUUGACAGGCACCAAGCAAAGGAAGGACAAGCCCUUAGUGGAUUACAUCAACGGUUGGACAACGUUAAGUUUGAACUGCAAGGUUCGCCUUUUAGAAAUAUCCGGUGUAGAGAUGUGUAUUCAAGAAAUGCACUGGGGCCUUUUGUACAUCCUACAAGGGAUCAAACCGCGAAUUUUCGAAGAACUUACAAUACGACAUGGAGUUGAGCAUCGCAAGUCAUGGAAAGGCAUCCACAUUUGAUGAUGAAAAGGAGUUCAAGAAAAGUGUUACAUCAAAGAACCAAACUAAAGAAUCUAUGGCGGUGAAAGCAACUUCGGUGAAAUUCACGACUAGUGGUGGCAAAAUAGUUAAAAGAAAAUAUUUAUCCACUCAGAUUAUCCAUUAAAAAGAGAUUGGAUAAUAGACUUUUUAAAAAUAGGUCAAAUAUGGAUAAUAACCAUAUUGUCCACUUAAAAAUGGAUAAUCAUUGGAUUUAACUUUUACAUUUGUAAAGCCUCAAAUUGAGGGUUCCUCAAAUUUGGGAGACUAGGAUUCUCCCAAAAGUGAUCAUAUUCAAGAAAACACGGUUAAUAUGGAUAUCCAUAUUAUCUGUCGGUUAACCUAUUUUUUAUCCGUAUUAAAUAUUGGUCUAGUCAAAUAAUUUAUCAUUUUUGUAUUACCCAUUUUUGACCUGCCCAUAUCCGACUCGACACACCUGUUUGCCACCCCUAGUCAUGACCCAGUAAAAAGUGAAAGAGGAGAAGACGUCGAGUCAACGUUUGAAAGAGGAGAAACAUCGUCUAACCUUGAACGAAUUAGAGGUGAAGGUUUAUCCAUUUUCAUAUUCAGACGUACCAACAAUCCUUGAUGAAUUGCUAGCCAAGAAAGUCAUCGAUCUCCCUGAAUCAAAGAGGCUUGAGGAAACUGGCAAAGUCGGCAAUCUGAAAUGCUACAAGUUUCAUCACAUCAUUGGUCACCCUAUAGAGAAAUGCUUCGUCUCGAAGGAAAAAAUCAUUGCUAGUAAGUAAAGGAAAAAUCAUCAUAGACAUGGAUGAAACAGCGAAAGUAAAUCAUGCAAGUUCAACCUAUUGUUGCUAUGAAGCUUGAGGAGAGGCUCGCGAUGUCACUCGAUUAGCUUAGGAGACUGGAUAAGUUCAGGAAGUUGCAUCCUUGUCACAUCAAUGGUACAACUUCAGUGGAUGCCCAAGGGUUUUUGGACUAUUGUCAUGAGAUUCUGUUAAUUUGGAACUAGUCGAGUCCAAUAGAGUUGACUUCACCACCUUCCAAAUGCAGGCUCUAGCCAAGAGUUGGUAGUAGGUUUUAGAGUUGGGAAUACCAGGAGGAUCACCUCCUCUUACCUAGGCUCAGUUCUCCUAGGUCUUUUUAGAGCAGUUUAUGCCCUACACCAGGAGAAAGGAGUUGAGGAGGCAGUUUUAGCACCUUCAGCAAGGUCAGAUGUCAGUUACUGAGUAUGAGAUAAGGUUCACAGAGUUGUUGUCCCAUCUUGAUUCUGUUUUGAUUCGCUCUGAGGAGGAGAGAGUGAGGAGAUUCAUUGACAAUCUUCACCCUAGUAUUUGCCUUAUUAUGGCUAUAGAAACUGAGAUCGGGACAUUAUUUCACCAAGUGGUGGAGAUAGCGCGCUGUGUUGAGUGCAUUCGCAAUGAGACUAGGGAGAUAAUGCAUGCUAGGGACUAAGAGAUUCCGAUAUUUUGGUAGCUUCAGUGGUGCCUCGUCUGGAGGUCAAGGUUGAUAUGGGAGAGGCCAUUCUAGCAGGCCAGCUGAUUAUACACCAUCACCCAAUCGAGGAUCUUUUAUGCAUUCCUUAUUUAGUGGACUUCUAGUGCAUAGUUCUCAUCGUGCUCUAUCUAUUCAGGGUUCAUCGGUACCAAGUUCAUUUGGUAGGUAUUCUGGUUCACAUGGUUCGACUCAGGCCCCACAGUCAUUUUCGAUUAAAAGUUUCUUUGAGCGUGGAGAUCUGGGCAUGUUAGGAAAUAUUGCCCCCGUCCUCGCAGGGGUUCAAGGCAAAAGGGAGGACGUACUAUAAUUCAUGUGCCAAUUGCUACACCACGCGUUCAGCCAGCUCGGGGUGGAGGUUAUCUAGGACGUGGUCAUCCUAGAGGGGGAUUAGUCUAGUGAAGGUCAGGCCAGAUGUUAUACGUUCCCAGGGAGGACCAAGGCCAUUCAUUCUUAUGCAGUGAUUACAGGCAUUGUUUCAUAUCAUGUUGUGUUGCCUAAAAAGAACAAAAAAUAAAAUAAUAAACAGUAGAUUUGGGUUGCUUCCCAUAAGCGCCUUAUUUGUAGUCGUGGCACGACAUGCACCACUUUACCACUUUGAUAAUAUAAAUUGUGCCCCCAAUUUUACAUCAAUUGUUCUAUCACGUUCCUGGGGUGAUGGUGUGAAAAUAAAAGAACCAAGCAAUAGAUAUCGUAUUUUGCAUUUCUUGGCCCUUAAGUGAGGUAUGUUGUUUUGUCUUUUUGAUGUGGCAAAUUUUAGAAUGUAAGGGUUUUGUUCUUCAUCUAGACAUCUCUCUAAAGGCUCGAUCUCCAUGUCUCCACCCAAACAUAAUGUAGAAAAAUAUUUAGAAUGAGAACCAACACGCCCCAACUCCAAAACUAUAUUAUUUUUGACAUAUUCAGUUAUAUACCCCCUCAACCUUUGCAUCAGCAACAAGAACAUGAUCUAAUGAUUGGUAUUCAAAUUUUAGCUCCUCAAUUUGGCCUAGAAGAUCUUUUUCAGCUUCACAGAGCUCGUCACUAAAUUGUUGGGUGUUACACGCAUCAAUCUUUGCUCUCAAAUCUGCAUCCAAGUUGAGACAUAGCCAAGCCAAACCUGUCAAUUUUUUGUGCAAGAUCAACUCUCUCCUUAAACCAAUCAUUCAUUAACGUUGUUAGUAAACAACGUCAUUUCGCAUACUCCCUUAAUCAAUAAUGUUCGUCACAAUAUCAACCCUUACUCCCAUAUUCAAAUUCAGAAUUCCAAGAGGUCAGGUCAUGACAAGCCAAAAAAAUACUGGCCAUAAAAGUCUUCUGUCAACCAAGCGUCUUCAUCAAUAAUCUUACCUACGUAUAUUUUGAUCCCUAGAUAUCAUGCUGAGAGAACUUGAAACACACUAAUAGAAAAUAUCAAAUAAUUAUUAAAAAAAUAUAUACAAAAAAAUAAUUGUAAAGAUAAAAGUAAAAGUAUGAUCUAGAAGAAUAGCUAAUUUCUAAGUCAUCGGCAAUGGCGCAAAAACUUGUUGCUCCAAACGCACACGCAAUUAUACACAGUCGACAAGUAAUAAAGUGAUAAGUAGAGUGUCAUUCCUAAGAGUACUUGUGAUUAACUAUCAACUACAUUAAACUAACACAAUUAAUCUAUUCAAGCGAUUUUCUAAAGUGUGAUUAUUUAACUACAACUAAUCGAGAGUAGCAAACUAAGAAAUUAAAGGAAAUAAAUCGGCAAUCUUAUAGAUGAAUUCAAUGGGAGAAAAUAUUCUAGAUUUAUAGGUUAGCUAACAAUCCCGUUGAGUCUUCCAAUUAAGUUGUCUAAUUAAAUUAUCUAGUUUAUUGUUGACAUGGUUAAUAUUCCUCGUAGUAUUCUCCCGAAGUACUACUAGCCUAUUCAAACUAACCUAACGCCUAUAUUCCUAUGGAAUCAGGAUUAACAAGAACGCGUUAAUGUUUCCCGUAUAGUAACCAAGCAAGGCGAUUAGGUAUAUCCCUAUCCUAACCGCAAAUCUGUUCCCCGUAAUUCAGGUUUAAGAUCUUGCUCUACUCAAUCCUAUUUGCAAUCUAAAAUUCCAUCUCCCGAGUUCAACCCUAUAUUCAUAGAUACUAUUUAAUUGGUGAUCAAGUAAUAAAAUAAUUAAGCGCUGUCACACCUCCUUUUUCCUGAGGGGGUAUAAGGGAAUUUUUUCAAUUUAAGUGACAUUAAUCGAAAUGGGAUUAUUCUAUUUAAUUUUAGAGUUGCCACUUGGGAUAAUUUAAGGUGUCCCACGUCAUCGGUUUAUUUUAAAUCCCAAAUCAAGGAAAUUAACUCUAUUUUUGAUCCGCGAACAUAGAAGAUCGGGUAAAGAAUUUUGUUAACCCGGGAGAAGGUGUUAGGCAUUUCCGGGUUCCGUGGUUUUAGCACGGUCGCUCAACUAUUAUUAAUUGGCCUAAUUAUCUGAUUAUUUACAUGUUUUAAACUUAUUGUGCAUUUUUAACUUUUAUAACCACUUUUAUUUAUUUAUGGAUUUAUUUUUGAAAUAAGCCAUGAUUGUCGUAUACUUAUUGUUUUGGUACAUAUUGCAAACCGCGUCACAUGAAAUGCACCAUCGAUUUACAACAUGUUCAGCAUUGUUAUUGUUUGAAGUUGUGGUCGAGUCACAUAAAAUGCACACUCGAAUUGGGAAUUAUGUAUCAUGACUAUGUCGCGGGAACCGUACCCAUAGUCAUGAUGUUUAUUAUUAAUCGCGCCUAGCGCACACUACGAAUAUUAAUUCUUAUCGUAAUUUUGAAAUCAACUAUGAGACCAUGAGUUAUGGAUAUGCAAAGAUUGAAGAUUAAUAAGUAUUUUAUCCAUUUGGAAUUAUUUUGGCGAAAUCAAUAUGUGAACUCUCAAACCUACCGAUGAAUACUCUUUUUUCAUAAAUCUCAGUAAAAUUAAGAGUCAAAGGAAUUAAAAUAGUGCACUUUAAAACUAAUUUUAUCACUUGUCUCAAAGGUUCCAUUACUUAAUUUUGACUUUGCUACACUAAAAUAUGUCCAUUGUAAUCAUCCUCCCCAUAAAGCGAGGUUUUUAAAUUGUGCUCUUGAAUCUCGUGAUUUUCUUCUCCCAAACAAUGAAUUUGAAAGAGUAUCCCUUGCUUUACGCUAAAGAUCAGUAUCUUCUAUAUAUAAACCUUUCCUAAUAUUAGAGGAAACUAAAAGCUGCAGCUAACUUCAUUCCAACAACCUUUACACGUUAAUAACUUCAGCUACUGAAGUCAAGAUACCAAAAUCAAAACCAGCCAAAAAUGCAAAAAGUACCUUUAAAAAAUAACACUAACACCACAUACCAAAACAAAGAAAACUACUAAAUCUUGAAACUCAAAUAUACCAGCAAAGGCCAAAUAUAUGACAAAUCAAAUAAACCAAAGUAAAGGGGGAGAAAAUAUUACCUCCAAUAGAAAUAUAAGGUAUUCUAUGAGGACCACCAAUAUAAACUGUGUACUGAAUUUGAGUUAAAUUACAACCAACUUGGAGAUUAAUCAACUCUCGACCAAAGAAUUUACCAAUGGCCUCGUCGACUGAACUUUGGAGCUCUUAGCUAAAGAGAACGGCUUGUACAAGCUCCAGUACAUAACAGCAGCAAACAAAAGCUCUUCAAUCUCAAUAGUUAUGCGCAUGAGCUAAUUUAUUUGGACGCUAUAAGAGAACUGAUUUGAGAGAAAAUAAGUGUUGUGUAGGAUCUUGGUGGAAAUGCUUGAAUCGCGCUGGUUUUUCAGUCGUUGAAGUCCAUUCGUACUUUUAUUCUCUGGACCUCGAAUGGAUUUGUUUAAAUGACCACUAGAUCUUCAUGAUCCUUGAGUGUAAAGGUCGAAUCAUGCCUUAUCUGAUGCUUUGAUAUCACUGAGAUCUCUGCAGUUUUGAAAGAUGUGGCGAGGUGGAGAAAAGAGGGAAAAGAGGGGAGUAUGGCUGGAGCGAGGUCGCUGGCAUUGGAGAUGGGGGGUCGCUGGCGUUGGAGAUGGAGCAGAUUUUUUAGAGGGUGAGAGUGAGGGGUGCGCUGUUUCUAUCAAGAAGGGGGGGUCCCAUUUUUUUGUGUCUUAGCAGCUAGGUUUUUAAUUUUUGGGGAGGGUUUUAUCUGAUCCCUAGUCU